rnacentral:tRNA from 1 species
AGUAAAGUAUUCUAAUAAAGAUAUAGGGCUCAUGAUCCUAAGAUGUAGCUUUUACCUUUACGU